GACGUAGGGCGCGAGCGUUGUCCGGAUUUAUUGGGCGUAAAGAGCUCGUAGGCGGCUUGUCGCGUCGAAUGUGAAAACCCGAGGCUCAACUUCGGGCUUGCAUUCGAUACGGGCAGGCUGGAGUUCGGUAGGGGAGACUGGAAUUCCUGGUGUAGCGGUGAAAUGCGCAGAUAUCAGGAGGAACACCGGUGGCGAAGGCGGGUCUCUGGGACGAUACUGACGCUGAGGAGCGAAAGCGUGGGGAGCGAACCGG
rnacentral:rRNA from 1 species